AUAGAAGAAGCACGUGAUCUUUAAAGGAAAAAAAAAUCAGCUCACAAGCUUUGGAUGCUCAAUAAAGAGAUAACACAUCAAUAUUCAAGCAUGGGGGGCAAUCAGGUCAGCAGAUAACACUUUGAUUUGACUAUUAAACAAGAAAAUUCUAUUUCAAUACAAAAUAAAUAUGAAAUAAACCCCUUGAUCCUCCACCCGUGAUUCAUGGCACAAGAGAGACCUGUAGGUCCUUCAGCUAUCAAUGCCACUUGAGUUGUUACCGCUAAUAGAGCAUCCAAUGCACAAGAGAGAGGCCCCAAACACAGCAUCUGAAAGGCAUGUAGCUACCUUGCUGUCCCAUUUUACUUAGCAGACAUAUGCCUCAUUGCAACUCCUCAAACAUUGCCUUCCAAUGAGGAAACCAAUUCUCUACUUGCCCCUCUGAGACCCCCUAACAAAUGAUUUAGAAACAAGAGAAGCUCGGAAUCAUGUUACACUGAGACCCUAGUGCACCGAUUGCUGAAGAGGUUGCUGACCUGCUGGUGUGGAUCUUAAAGGUAGCUCUGCACUUCCGACAUGACUCCACAAGAAGCCAGCCUCUGAUGCUCGCCUUCAUUAUCAUUCAUUAUCAUGGAGCCAACCACCUUGACUCUAAUAACUUCUACCUCCUAAGUCUCCAUAUUCAGACUGCCAUGGAUUGGCCAUACACCAACCUCAUCCUCGCACGUGUCCUACUGAUGCUGGAUUGGAACCCUUCAAGUACAGCCCUGCAGCCAACCUCACCCAGUGCAACCACUGGAAUUCUGGGACUAAGAGCACUCCUUGGUGCUAGGAAAUUUGAUUUGCACUUUUCCUCACCAUAGCACAAACUACAAAAGAAUUUUAAAAAAGAAAAAAUUGUUAGAAAAAUUUGUCAUUUGCUAUGUAAAUUCAAAACAAGACAAAAGAACCUAAGGUCAUAUAUCAUAAGCCCUUUCUUGAUCCCGAGACACCAUUCAAGGAAUCAAAUAGAAUCCUCACAAGUUUGCUCCCACAAUCUGAACAAGUAAAUGCAUGAAGUAGUAAAAGUGUAACAAAGAACAAGAAAACUCUAUUCAAAUAGAACAUGAUAAGGAAUGAGAACUUUAUAAACUAAAACUGAAAUGUCAAGCAAAACAUUAUGUACUUUGAACUGAAGAGGCAUUAAUAUCCAACAACAUAUAAUUUGAGUUAAGAAUACAUAAAUGGUACAUGAUAAAUGAGGCCUGAAGCAUUACGAUCUAAGAUAUUUUUUUUUAAAUAAUAUGAAAAAAACCAAACAUUUGAAAAUCUGUCCUUAACGUGAUAAUAAAACACAAAAAAAGGUCUACGCAACCCCUAACUUCUAGAUUAACUAAAACAAAAGAAGAAAACCUAUCUCUUUGCAUGCUAAAGGAACUAUAGAUAUAAUCAUCCAGAGCCACUAAAGCACCGCAAAUUGGAGAAGAGCAUCAGUCUGCAGGUAAUUCAAGGACUAAGGUUCCAAACUUCCAAUAAAAUAGAAAGUACACGAUAUUAUAGUACAGACUAAGGAAGAAGAUAGCAAGAUGGAAGAUACUAAAAUAGGUGAACAAGAUAAUUAAUAUAACAUAACAUAUAAAGAUGAAGAUGGACCAAAGUAAGAUCAUAUAUAUGAAAAAGAACCAUAGCUCCUAAUCCUGAGAUACAAUUCAUUAUAUCACAUAGAACAUAGCAGAAGAUGUAAAUUCUAGUUGCUCACAUUAAUCGCUAAAUUACUCAAUUGCUCAAUCAGUAAAAAUAAAUGUAUCUAUGAAGGUCAAAAGCAUAUAUGCUGUAUCAAACAAAAUAAAUAGCAUGCUCAAAUUCUAUCAUGUAAAUACUAUGUGAACAUAACCCAGGCCCUUUGACCAUAGAAAUAAGCAAUAAUUUUCUAAUAUGAAAACAAAUAAAAAAUAGAGAGAUAUGCCAUAAAUAUCUUAUGAUGACAAGAUCACGACAAAUAUCAUAACAAACAAAGCUCUAAUGACAUCAUUAGAAAAAAUAGUAGUGAAUUCCAUCUAAAUUUCCCAUAACAAUCCCCCAGCUUCAUGGAAACCAAAUAUGGCACAAAUAAAAUCCUUUCUUUGCAUCAGAGAACAAAUUUUAAUGAAGGAAAAAAAGGAUGACACAAAAGCUAGUCUCCACGUCAUGCAACAUGAUUGUACUUCACGACAACCACCAAUGAUCAAAUAUUAUAGUCCAUUGACUACAAAACAAGUAACACCACCCAAAAACCUUAUGAAUCCACAUACACAUGAAAAUAAAUAGUGAACGAGAAGAAAUUAAACAUUAAAGCAUGAGGGAAGAAAGUGCUUGAAUUCAAUAUUCCAUUAACAUAAAAACCAGAUCAGGUGACAAAAACUGUACACGUAGUCCACAUGCACAAAUAUUAGCAAAUCUUUUAAUCAGAUAAAAACUAGGUUCAUUGAUUCCUUAACCCACCCACCCCACCAGAAAAAGAGAAAAAAGGACAUUAGAUUCAUAAACUUAGGGUAAAAAUACAUUAAAUACCUCAUAGUUGGAACUAUUGUUGGUGCAGAUCUUCAAGAUAGCGCCACUCUUCUGACAUGCCACCAAACAGAACAAAUAGCAUGCUCAAAAUCAAGGUUUGCUAGACUAGUACUGAGCCUCAUACUGGCCAGCAACCAGUCUAGUCCUAUAGGUCCAUACCAUACCAUGUUGAAGUACACCAAGAGGGAGAGGGGGGAGAGGAAGAAGGAGACGGAGGCGGAGAGAGGGAGGGGGAGGAGAGAGAGGCCGAGGACCCCUUGAUGGGGAACUUCAAGAAGAUAGGGAGGAAGAGCGAGAGGGGGAGACGAAGGAGAGGGAAGGAAGGAGAGAGAGAN
rnacentral:lncRNA from 1 species